rnacentral:rRNA from 1 species
GACGAACGCUGGCGGCGUGCUUAACACAUGCAAGUCGAACGAAAAUACCAAGCUUGCUUGGUUGAUUAGUGGCGAACGGGUGAGUAACACGUGAGUAACCUGCCCCUUACUUUCCUGGAUAACUGCUCGAAAGGGUAGCUAAUACGGGAUAUUCUGACCAGCCUGCAUGGGUUGGUUUGGAAAGGUUGUUUUUCUGGUAAGGGAUGGGCUCGCGGCCUAUCAGCUUGUUGGUGGGGUGAUGGCCUACCAAGGCUUUGACGGGUAGCCGGCCUGAGGGGGUGGACGGUCACACUGGGACUGAGAUACGGCCCAGACUCCUACGGGAGGCAGCAGUGGGGAAUAUUGCACAAUGGGCGCAAGCCUGAUGCAGCGACGCCGCGUGAGGGAUGAAGGCCUUCGGGUUGUAAACCUCUUUCGUCAGGGAACAAGGCACUGCUUUUUUGGUGGUGUUGAGGGUACCUGGAUAAGAAGCGCCGGCUAACUACGUG